UGGCCACUACGUCUAAGGAUGGCAGCAGGCGCGCAAAUUACCCACUCUCAGAACGAGGAGGUAGUGACGAGAAAUAACAAGACCGUUCUCUUUAGAGGCCGGUCAUUGGAAUGGGUACAAUUUAAACCCUUUAACGAGUAUCUAUGAGAGGGCAAGUCUGGUGCCAGCAGCCGCGGUAAUUCCAGCUCUCAAAAUGCAUAGAAUCAUUGCUGCGGUUAAAAAGCUCGUAGUUGGAUCUGUGCUGACCCCCCGGUCUACCUUCGGGUUUGUACUGGUGGGGUUGGCUUUCUGUCGCUUUUGGGCUGGUGCCCUUCACUGGGUAUCAGAUUCCGAGUGGCAAGUUUACUUUGAACAAAUCAGAGUGCUUCAAACAGGCGUUUCGCUUGAAUGUUCGUGCAUGGAAUAAUAGAAGAGGAUUUCGGUUCUAUUUUAUUGGUUUUAUAGACUGAGAUAAUGGUUAACAGAGACAAACGGGGGCAUUCGUAUUGCUACGUGAGAGGUGAAAUUCUUGGACCGUAGCAAGACGAACUACAGCGAAAGCAUUUGCCAAGAAUGUCUUCAUUAAUCAAGAACGAAAGUCAGAGGUUCGAAGGCGAUCAGAUACCGCCCUAGUUCUGACCGUAAACGAUGCCAACUAGCGAUCCGCCGGUGGAUUCCUUGCCCUGGUGGGGAGCUUCCCGGAAACGAAAGUCUUCCGGUUCCGGGGGAAGUAUGGUUGCAAAGCUGAAACUUAAAGGAAUUGACGGAAGGGCACCACCAGGAGUGGAGCCUGCGGCUUAAUUUGACUCAACACGGGGAAACUCACCCGGCCCGGACACCGUAAGGAUUGACAGAUUGAUAGCUUUUUCAUGAUUCGGUGGAUGGUGGUGCAUGGCCGUUCUUAGUUCGUGGAGCGAUUUGUCUGGUUUAUUCCGAUAACGAGCGAGACUCUAGCCUACUAAAUAGUUCGCACAUUGUCUCUGUGUGUGUGACUUCUUAGAGGGAUUUUCGGUGUUCAGCCGCACGAAAUUGAGCAAUAACAGGUCUGUGAUGCCCUUAGAUGUCCGGGGCUGCACGCGCGCUACACUGGCAAAAUCAGCGUGCUUGUCCUUCCCCGAAAGGGGUUGGUAAACCCUUGAAAAUUUGCCGUGAUUGGGAUUGGAAAUUGCAAUUAUUUUCCAUGAACGAGGAAUUCCAAGUAAGUGCGAGUCAUCAGCUCGCGUUGAUUACGUCCCUGCCCUUUGUACACACCGCCCGUCGCUGCCCGGGACUGAGCCAUUUCGAGAAACUUGGGGACCGUGGAUUCRGUGGCUUUCGGGUCGCCGUUUUCGUGGGAACCAAUUUAAUCGCAGUGGCUGA
rnacentral:rRNA from 1 species